UAUGUGAAAGUAUGGAGGGGGGUGUGUAUGGAUGCUGGGUUUUCAUCUGGAGGGUUUGAACUUGAUGGACUUUGUCUUUUUUCAACCCAAUUUAACUAUGUAACUAUGUAACAGCCAGAUGUGAGUUUAUGUGAUGAGCUCUGAUUCAAGUCUUUGCAAGUAUAACUUUUCUAUGAGUCUGAGCAAUUGGAAUAUGCUGCUGCAUUUCAGGCCUGGACUGCAAAUCUGUUGGUUCUGGCAAAUGACCUAGGGACUGCUGUAAGUUGCCAUAUACAGUCACUAUUUAUUGGGUCCAAGUCUGCCAUCAGGGGGACACACGAGUGACUAUCGUCCCAGACCCGACAGAUCUCGUGCUCUCAGGGGGGCCUUGUCGGUGCUGCUGAAGAUGCUGCUCCGGAGAAGAACCCGCAAAGGAAAAGAACGAAGAAGCCGUGUCGGAAAAGAACGAAGAAGCCAUGUCGGAAAAGAAUGAAUAAGCUGUGUCGGAAAAGAACGAAGAAGCCGUGUCGGAAAAGAACGAAGAAGCCGUGUCGGAAAAGAACGAAGAAGCCGUGUCGGAAAAGAACGAAGAAGCCGUGUCGGAAAAGAACGAAGAAGCCGUGUCGGAAAAGAACAUAGAAGCCAUGUCGGAACAGAACGAAGAAGCUGCGAUAAAAAAGAAGCUCCAAUGGAAAGGAACGAAGAAGCCAUAACGGAAAGUAAUGAAGAAGCCCGCUUUGGAAAAGAAUGAAGAAGCCCACUUCGGAAAAUAAUGAAGUAGCCAGCUUCGAAAAAGAACAAAGAAGCCGGCGACGGAAAAGAAAGAAGAGGCCGUGACUGAAAAGAAAGAAGAGGCCGUGACUGAAAAGAAUGAAGAAGCUGUCACCAAGGAGGAACUUGCAGAGGGCCCUGGCCACCUAUGUUUUUUUAACUUGGAGACCCUGGUGCCAAUUAUUUCGUUUGUAGGGGGACCUGGCCACCAAUGUUUUUAUUUAACUUGUAGGCUGCCCUGGCAUUAAUGUUUUUUUAAGUUGUCAGGGUCCCUAGCAUCAGUGUUGUUUUUUAACUUUUUGGGGACCUUGGCACCAAUCGUUUCUUCUGAACUAAUGGUAAAUAAGCAAUUAUUUUUUUUUCGCAGCUCUCUAACUUGUUAGUCAGCGACAUGAAAGGGGCUACAUGGGAUAUAACUGUUCAGUUAGUUUUCUUUUGAUUCUGACCUGUAGACUUUGGAUUCAGAUUCAUUCAGACAUAUUUGCUUUGGCCAGGUUCUUGGAUUAGGUUUAAUCCGCAUCCUGCUAAAAAGGCUUGCAACUAGCUACAAUGCAGUAUGAUUUCUUGAACAGUAUGUGUUAUUAAUUCAAGAAAAGCAGUUGUAGCUACAUAGAAAUAUGUACUAUCAGUUCAGGCAGCUUCAAGAGAGGUAUUAGGGAUUAGUUAUCUUGUUACCUGCCAAUUGUUCUGUUGAUAUGAUGUGGGGGGGGCAUGGAAGUUGACAUCAAUCCAACUUGCAGUGCAGCAGAUUGACGCAUUUCUGAGUACAGGGUUGAGGGCAGUGUCAGACUGACUCACCAGUACAGUGAUACUAGGAGGCCAAAAAAUAGAAAAUAGGAGGAAAAUUUUUUAGAGAAUGGGCCCUUUGUCCAAAAUUUUCUGGUGGGUCCCCGGCACCCUAGUCUGACACUGGUUGAGUGGACUUGGGAAAGUAAGAAAAUAGCUUGCCUCAUGCUAAAUAUUAAAAAUUAAAUAUAAAUAAAAUCUAUCUUUUGAAAAACAAAUUUUAACACUGGAUUAUACUUUAGCUUGAGGAGCUCUGUUAAUUGAUGUUCAAAAAAGUCUUUCAUUGUGACAGAUCCAAAUCAGCAGGAUCAAAAUACUGUCUCUGCAUAAUGUGGUUUUGUUUGAGGCACACACACAAUAGGUUUAUUUUAGGGGAGGACUGUUGGGGCUGAGUUUAUGCAGCUGCAAGAAGUGGAAGUUUGAAGAUUCACCCGUGUGUGACCUGAAAACCUCUCACAGGUAGAGCACAAACUUUUCUGUUGCUCCAACUCUGUAUUGCUAAAGACAGAACAUCAUGAAUCGUUAUUUAAUCUGCAGUGCCAUCAUUCUCUUUGCCGGGGCCAUAGACUUAGAUUCUUCAAAAAUGGCGGCCACGUCAAUCAACAAUUCAGCAGAGGUGGAACAAUCUUCAGAACCAAAUAGCAUGGGCCUUGGGUCCUUCACUUCUCCGGUACCACUAUUCAUCUGCACAGUUCUAUCCCUCUUUUUUUAUAUGUUGGGAAACUAAUACCUUCGUUAAUGAGAAGCAUCCUUUAUUGGAGACCCAACUGUUGUUCCUUCACUUUGUCAGAGAGUCUUGUUCUUCACCGAUGACCAAGCAGUCCUCAAACGAACCCUCCGAGUGUAUUUGUGAAUGCUUGCUUCUUCACGGCUGGGCCAAACCUGAUUUUGCACUCCUCUAUUCAACCCAUGGCUACAAUAUCUUUUUCCUCUGCAACCCAUACACUGGCUAAAUAAAUAUCUAUUCUUUUUCA